UGGUGGUAACCAGAUGAUCCCAAUAAUUUAGGUAGCCGAGUAAAUGAUGCCCCCCUCUGGUCAGCUUUUGGCAUGUUCUAUUGCGAGUUGUUUGGGACUCUAUUGCGAGUUGUUUUCCGCGUUUACUAAUCAAAGAUAUUUUACUUAUUAAGUCAAAUAUGAAAUGAUCUGCAAUACACUGGUCUUUUACAAUGGUGGAAUCAAUGUCAAAUUAGAGGCUUUUUAUUGUAUUAAAACGUGUCUCAAUCCAACGUGCCUAGCUAGCUCUGCCCACUGGGGCGUGGCUUACGGAGCACACUGAAAUAAGUGCUCUUAACUCGAUCCAUUGGAAUAAGGCGAUACCUCACCAGUGAGCACGAUCUUCUAGCUAAUGUUAGUCCUCCCUGACCAAUGGACUAUUGACUUUGCUUUGUAACGCACAGUGGACUUGACUACUUAUUUUAUAUCAUAAAGGGAGUUAAGUAUUUCAGAAUAUAUCACAUUGAAGUGUGGUGUUUUGAAGCUACAUGUUGAAAUCAAGAAAAGAGCAGAGGCCAUAUGGAACUAGAACUGCAAUCAUAUUAAAAACAGCUUAUGUUAUGUCAAAUCAACUAACUAACUAGCAAACCAAAUGAGUUUUCCUUCAUCUGUAGCUCUGGGAGUCAAAGAUUCUGCAGUCCAAAGCAGUGGAUGGCUUGGCCCUCAUGAAGAACACCAACUCAUCAGACUUUGUGCUGCAGCUCCCUCCAAACUAUGGACAGACGUUUACAAAACAUACAUAACAACAGUGGGACUCUGGCCACCUCUCUUCCUCCACGGAUGACCUACCCAGUCCAGAUCCCUGCAGGGUUCACAAUGCAGACAUCCUCUGGCCAGCUUUACAUGGUGAACUUUAUAGUGAUGGUGUCCCAGGUUCCAGCCGGCCACAGCCCUCUCCCCUCAGCUACAGAAGGGGGUACCUGUAGUGGAGUGGAAAGAUCCCAGCCCAUCUUCCAAGCAGUCAGCUAUGGUGGUCCCUUCUACUGUCCUCAAGACCAUGACCACUCCGAAGACAGAUCCAUUCUCCCCACGACCUGUGGCCCCUCCCACAGCUGUACCUCAGACACCAGAGCAGACCCUGAUACGUCCAUCCAGGUGAUGCCUCCGGUCCAGCCACCUGAUGCGAAGCCUGUGCUACCCAAACCCGUGGUCUAG
rnacentral:lncRNA from 1 species